rnacentral:rRNA from 1 species
CGCUGGCGGCGUGCCUAACACAUGCAAGUCGAACGAUGAUGAUGGAGCUUGCUCUAUCUGAUUAGUGGCGCACGGGUGAGUAAUGCAUAGAUAAUGUGCCCCUUAGUUCGGGAUAGCCACUGGAAACGGUGAUUAAUACCGGAUACUCCUUCUUGUCUCAAGGCAAGUCGGGAAAGUUUUUCGCUAAGGGAUCAGUCUAUGUUCCAUCAGGUAGUUGGUGAGGUAAUGGCUCACCAAGCCUAUGACGGAUAUCUGGUUUGAGAGGAUGAUCAGACACACUGGAACUGAGACACGGUCCAGACUCCUACGGGAGGCAGCAGUGAGGAAUAUUGCACAAUGGAGGAAACUCUGAUGCAGCAACGCCGCGUGGAGGAUGACGCAUUUCGGUGUGUAAACUCCCUUUAUUAGGGAAGAUAAUGACGGUACCUAAUGAAUAAGCACCGGCUAACUCCGUGCCAGCAGCCGCGGUAAUACGGAGGGUGCAAGCGUUACUCGGAAUCACUGGGCGUAAAGGGUGCGUAGGCUGGCUUUUAAGUCAGGUGUGAAGUCCAAUGGCUCAACCAUUGAACUGCACUUGAAACUGAAAGCCUAGAGUUCAGAAGGGGCAGAUGGAAUUAGUGGUGUAGGGGUAAAAUCCGUAGAUAUCACUAGGAAUAUCAAAAGCGAAGGCGAUCUGCUGGGAUGAUACUGACGCUGAGGCACGAAAGCGUGGGGAGCAAACAGGAUUAGAUACCCUGGUAGUCCACGCCCUAAACGAUGAAUGCUAGUCGUCGGGAAGCUCGUCUUUUCGGUGACGCACUUAACAGAUUAAGCAUUCCGCCUGGGGAGUACGGUCGCAAGAUUAAAACUCAAAGGAAUAGACGGGGACCCGCACAAGUGGUGGAGCAUGUGGUUUAAUUCGAAUUAUACACGAAGAACCUUACCUGGCCUUGACAUCCCAAGAACUUUCCAGAGAUGGAUUGGUGCUAGCUUGCUAGAACUUGGUGACAGGUGCUGCACGGCUGUCGUCAGCUCGUGUCGUGAGAUGUUGGGUUAAGUCCCGCAACGAGCGCAACCCUCGUCUUUAGUUGCUAACAGUUCGGCUGAGCACUCUAAAGAGACUGCCUCCGUAAGGAGGAGGAAGGUGAGGACGACGUCAAGUCAUCAUGGCCCUUACGGCCAGGGCUACACACGUGCUACAAUGGGGCGUGCAGAGAGCUGCAAUACCGCGAGGUGGAGCCAAUCUCUUAAAGCGUCUCUCAGUUCGGAUUGUUCUCUGCAACUCGAGAACAUGAAGCUGGAAUCACUAGUAAUCGCAGAUCAGCUAUGCUGCGGUGAAUACGUUCCCGGGUCUUGUACUCACCGCCCGUCACACCAUGGGAGUUGAUUUCACCCGAAAUCGGGAUGCCAAACUGGCUACCGCUUACGGUGGAAUUAGCGACUGGGGUGAAGUCGAAACAAGGUA